UACGUAGGGUGCGAGCGUUAAUCGGAAUUACUGGGCGUAAAGCGUGCGCAGGCGGUUCGUUGUGUCGGCGGUGAAAGCCCCGGGCUCAACCUGGGAAUGGCCGUUGAAACUGGGGAACUGGAGUGUGGCAGAGGGGGGUGGAAUUCCGCGUGUAGCAGUGAAAUGCGUAGAGAUGCGGAGGAACACCGAUGGCGAAGGCAGCCCCCUGGGCUGACACUGACGCUCAGGCACGAGAGCGUGGGGAGCAAACAGG
rnacentral:rRNA from 1 species